rnacentral:rRNA from 1 species
UACAGAGGUCCCAAGCGUUGUUCGGAUUCAUUGGGCGUAAAGGGUGCGUAGGCGGCGCGGUAAGUCGGGUGUGAAAUCCCUGGGCUCAACCCAGGAACUGCGUCCGAUACUGGCAGGCUUGAAUUCGGGAGAGGGAUGCGGAAUUCCAGGUGUAGCGGUGAAAUGCGUAGAUAUCUGGAGGAACACCGGUGGCGAAGGCGGCAUCCUGGACCGAUAUUGACGCUGAGGCGCGAAAGCCAGGGGAGCAAACGGG